UGAGGGAAGAUAAUAGAAAACAAAUCAAAUACCAAAUGUAGACAAAAACGAUUUGUUUCGAAUUAUCAUUACUACAUGACUCUAUAUUGCAUGAUUUUCUUCUUGAAACAUCCCUGAAGUACAAUAUGAGGAUGGUAAAUGGUAAUACUGCCUUGCUGUGUUUCUCCAGCACAUUUAUUGGUGGAGAACUGUACUUUCCCAUGACAAUCAAGAUGGGGGAAAAAAAAGUGCAUCUUACCUUAUAAAAGGAAAAGAACAGCAUGCAUUCAGCAAUAAUUUAUUCCACCAGCUGCUUUUUCUCAUUCCCUGUGGUCAGAAGACUUUGUCCUAAACCUGAAGCCUGGAUUUGUCAAAAGCAAAAAUAAGAAAGCUGUAAGUUUAGACUUGAAGUGCUUCCUGGAAUAACUAUCAGCCUUGCAAAGACAAAGGUGAAGUACAUCCUCCCAGAUGUCAUGAGAGCUCCUUCCUUCACUGAUGGA
rnacentral:lncRNA from 1 species